AUCAGAUGAGGUUUACCCAUGUUUGGAUUCUAUAUAGUUUUAUGUCCUGUUUCGGUUCAAUAUUUGUUGUGUGUGAUGUCUUCCGAACUUAGCUGAAUUUUUGUUAAACUGUAAUGACGACCAGCUCAGUCUGUUUGUGAAUUUAAUUAAAAUUGCAUGAAAAUUGUGAUGUGAAAUUGUUUCAGGAACGCAAUCUGGCAUAAACAUGUGAAAUCGAUGAUCACUGAUUCUUUUGCUAUUGCUCGUUUUAGUGGGGGUUUUUUCAUUCAUUUGUAGUCC
rnacentral:lncRNA from 1 species